rnacentral:misc_RNA from 1 species
ACAUCGCGUCGCCACACCUCGACUCUCCUCCGCUCUUCCCCGCUCUCCCCAUCUGACCCCCCUCCUGCCUACUGCCCCCUCUCUCCUCGUCCGCUGUGCUGCGUCGUCUGGCGCCCACCCCCCACCCCCACCCCUUCCGUUGUCUCUCCCGUCUGCCUCAGCGCCGCCCUUCUCAGUCUCUCGCUCUUGUCCCUUCUCGCCCAUGAAGUACAGUAUCCCCCUCGUUGUCUACGUGGUGCUCCAGUUCGUGGCGUUCCUUCUGAUGCUGGUGGGAACUCCGCUGGACAUGUUCCGCAAGACAAAGCUGACGGGUUAUGGCACCUUGAAGUGCAUUACGCUGUGGGGGGUGAAGGAAAACUGCGCAUCUCUGGAUUACGACCUGACGAUCUACUUGUUUUUCAGCAGCUGCGAAACUCGUACAGCUCUUUUUCGCAUUGCCCAGUCGUUUGCUGUUAUCUCCGUCCUCGUGUACGGCGCGGCGUUCUGUCUGGGCUUCGCGAUGCUGUUCUGGUGCCAUUUUCUCCGCUUGGUCUGCCUGGCGCUCAACGUCGUUGGCGCGAUAACUGCGUGCAUUGUGUGGGCCAUUGUCGUGACGGUAUUCCAUAGAAUGGAUGGCCCUCUUUGUGUAAGCUUGAGGGAUUUCCAUUUUGUGUUUGGCACCGGCUUUUUUCUCCUGAUGCUUGCCUGGUGCCUCGAUUCUUUGAAUAUCAUCAUCUUGCUGCUCCCGUGCACGGUUUCGGCCACUACUGAGAACGAAAAGACAGAACCGCCGACAGAGCAGGAGUAGGAUAGAGAUAGGACAAGUGAGAGGAGGGGGAGUUUCACAGCGGCGCGGCCCCUCCCCCACACCGGCGUCCUCGUGGUGGAGCCGGUGUCGGCGAGGAUGUGGGUGCGCAAGCUGCGGGUUCCCGUGUGUGCCCUUCGCCGGCCCAGCCCUCUCGCUGCCCUGUCGCGCGUGCGUGCACGCACCCGCUCUCCGCACACAUGGCGGGGAGUCCUCCCACCCCCGCUGCCGUCACCUCUCUCUUUUCGCGCUGCCCCGCAUUGCCCCCGCUGUGCGCGUGCGUCUCAUGACGAGCGUGGCUUUGCGCGUCUCCCCUUCCUCCUCCCCCACUCCCUCACCCGAAGCGUCGUUGUGGUGCGCGCGCAUGCCUGCUGGGUCGUGGGUGGCAGCGCGGCCCGCGGAAGGAAGUACCUGAUGGUGCUUUCCUGGCUCCGCUCUCUCUGCCUGUUUGUCUUCCCACUCACGACUCCCUUGCGCCUGUGCGGUUGCUGUUUUCGCGUUUCCUCUUUGGUCUGCACGGCGAUCUGCGCUGGGCAGUGGGCAGCGCACGCUGGGCGCCGGCAGGUCCGUUCGCGCUGCCUUCUUCCCACUUAUCCCCCCCGCUCCUAUUGUGAGCUGGUUGCCUUGAUCAGCUUCUGCGAAUCGCCGCCGUGACGCCCACCCGGGGGCGGCACCCUUGCUGAGGCGACGAAGCGGGGGGAGGAUGCGGGAUGCCGACACGGUCGCAGCGGGCCGGACUGUGUGCGCGGGAAAGGGAGAGCGAAGGCUUGUGGCGAAUGGCCGAACGGGAAGGGGAAGGCGGGCGCGACGGAGGGGAGACACCGACGCCCUCGCAGGGAUGGCGGGAAGCUCAGAGCCACACACCGAAUCAGCCAGCUGCCCCCCUUCAACUGCAUACCCCGCAGUCGGCAUCGCGCGUGCUCUGCUAUGCCUCUUCUACCUGCGCUCCGCUAGCCGCCGUCACUGCGUUUCCUCCCUGAAACACGCUCCGCAGUGACUGCAUGAACGGAGGAGGGCGAUGGAGCGAGGGAGGGUGCGAGGUUCCAGAGGAGGUGCUGGCGGGGGUGGGAAGCAGAAAGGCGGGCUAGCAGGCGCAUGGGGCAAGGAAAGAGGGCACCGCCAUGCACAGGCACCGCUGCCGAGGGGUGGUUGCGGCACUUCCUCCAGGAGUGCUGAUGGCACACGGCGCCUGUAUGCGUGUGUGUCUGUGUGCAGGCGCCCCCUGCGACCCUCCUCCCUCUUCUUCCGUGAGCGGCCCCCGCGACCGCGCCCCUCCCUCGCUUACGCUGCCGUUGCUCGCGCGUCUCUGUUUUCGUGCGUUGUUCGCGGGUGCCGCCGCACGCUCUCGCGCUCCUUGACGCUCGUUUCUCUUUCGGGUUCUGCGAUGCUUGCUGUUCUCUCCUCCGCACAG